rnacentral:pre_miRNA from 1 species
CAAAUCAGCAAUAGGGCACCUCUCUCCUGGCAGGUAUUUUUGGAGCUACCAAAAAUCAAUGUCAAUAACUUGCCAAAGGAGAGUUGCCCUGUGGCUGGUUU